GAUUGCCUCAGUAACGGCGAGUGAAGCGGCAACAGCUCAAAUUUGAAAUCUGGCCUCUUUGGGGUCCGAGUUGUAAUUUGUAGAGGAUGUUUCGGGUACCGCCUCGGUUUAAAUUUCUUGGAACAGAAUGUCAGAGAGGGUGAGAAUCCCGUCUUGGACCGGCGGUAGGGCCCAUGUGAAACUCCUUCGACGAGUCGAGUUGUUUGGGAAUGCAGCUCAAAAUGGGUGGUAAAUUUCAUCUAAAGCUAAAUAUUGGCCAGAGACCGAUAGCGCACAAGUAGAGUGAUCGAAAGAUGAAAAGAACUUUGAAAAGAGAGUUAAACAGUAUGUGAAAUUGUUGAAAGGGAAGCGCUUGCAACCAGACUUGAGCGCGGCGGUUCCCCCUUCCUUUUGGUUGGGUUACUCCGCCGUGUCCAGGCCAACAUCGGUUCUGGGGGUCGGUUAAAGGCCCGGGGAAUGUACCUACUCCUUCGGGGGUAGACUUAUAGCCCCGGGUGUCAUGCGACCACCCGGGACCGAGGAACGC
rnacentral:rRNA from 1 species